GACGAACGCUGGCGGCGUGCCUAAUACAUGCAAGUUGAGCGAUGAAGAUUGGUGCUUGCACCAAUUUGAAGAGCAGCAAACGGGUGAGUAACGCGUGGGGAAUCUGCCUUUGAGCGGGGGACAACAUUUGGAAACGAAUGCUAAUACCGCAUAACAACUUUAAACAUAAGUUUUAAGUUUGAAAGAUGCAAUUGCAUCACUCAAAGAUGAUCCCGCGUUGUAUUAGCUAGUUGGUGAGGUAAAGGCUCACCAAGGCGAUGAUACAUAGCCGACCUGAGAGGGUGAUCGGCCACAUUGGGACUGAGACACGGCCCAAACUCCUACGGGAGGCAGCAGUAGGGAAUCUUCGGCAAUGGACGAAAGUCUGACCGAGCAACGCCGCGUGAGUGAAGAAGGUUUUCGGAUCGUAAAACUCUGUUGGUAGAGAAGAACGUUGGUGAGAGUGGAAAGCUCAUCAAGUGACGGUAACUACCCAGAAAGGGACGGCUAACUACGUG
rnacentral:rRNA from 1 species